rnacentral:rRNA from 1 species
AGUGAACGCUGGCGGUAGGCCUAACACAUGCAAGUCGAACGGCAGCACAGUAAGAGCUUGCUCUUACGGGUGGCGAGUGGCGGACGGGUGAGGAAUACAUCGGAAUCUACUUUUUCGUGGGGGCUAACGUAGGGAAACUUACGCUAAUACCGCAUACGACCUACGGGUGAAAGCAGGGGAUCUUCGGACCUUGCGCGAUUGUAUGAGCCGAUGUCGGAUUAGCUAGUUGGCGGGGUAAAGGCCCACCAAGGCGACGAUCCGUAGCUGGUCUGAGAGGAUGAUCAGACACACUGGAACUGAGACACGGUCCAGACUCCUACGGGAGGCAGCAGUGGGGAAUAUUGGACAAUGGGCGAAAGCCUGAUCCAGCCAUACCGCGUGGGUGAAGAAGGCCUUCGGGUUGUAAAGCCCUUUUGUUGGGAAAGAAAAGCAGCAGGUUAAUACCCCGCUGUUCUGACGGUACCCAAAGAAUAAGCACCAGCUAACUUCGUG